AGAUUAAGCCAUGCAUGUCUAAGUUUAAG
rnacentral:misc_RNA from 1 species